UACAAACGAACACCAAGUAACCCACUCGCAUCCCCCUCUUCUUUCGCCCCCUCCUCCAUCCAUGGUGCGAAGAAAGUGUAACCAUCCAAGCACUUUGUCGGAGGAGAGAGGGAGAGAGAGGAUCAAUCAAUUCGUCCUAAAUUUAACCCUCCUAAAAACCACUUAUAUUACUACUUUUAUUUAUAUAAAUCCGUCCCCAUCCCAACCAUCCACCAGCCCGCCCGCCCCGCCUGAUCCGUCCCAGCGAUUGCUAUGAGUUUAGGUGAUUUUACCACAGAUCUUCCUCUUUUUUUUGUAUGUAAAUAAAGUUUGAGGUCCAGGCUCGUCAUGUAAAUUCGGGAGCGAGUGAAAUCGGGUACGUAGGAAUUAGGAGCAGAGGGACAAGAGGGCCUGGCUGCUUGGCAACAGCAACAACAGAAAAAAUGGGGGAAAGAAGAGGGAAGGGCCUUCUUGAUCAAGAAUCAAGAUCUCGUCUCCUGUCUGUCUCCUCUCUCGGGGAGGGAGGGAGGGAGGAUUGGUUAGUCGUUGGAUUAGGUUGGGGAGUGGGAGGUCGUGGGAGUAGUUAGGUAAUCUGUCCUAGUUCAUCAAUCAACGAGGUUUUCUUUUUCUCUUUUUGGGUUUUCGAUGGAAUUGUUUUUGUCCGUCCGUCCAUGCAACCAAGGAAGAAAAGAAAUUUCCAAGGCCCAUGGAGAAUCUGUACAAAAGAGUGGCUACGUGCAAGAGGGCACCGUUGAGUCUGUGAGCAGAAGCAAGCAGCAGCAGCAGCUAGGUUGUUCAGUCAGGCAGUGGAUGAGCUGUGUGUGAGAGAGAGACAUUUAUUUUGUGGCGUUUUCCCUUUUUCCCCCUUUUCUCAUGUUGUAAUAUCCUGCUGUGAUUGAAAUGAAAUCAAGCUG
rnacentral:lncRNA from 7 species